GACGAACGCUGGCGGCGUGCUUAACACAUGCAAGUCGAACGGUGAAGCGCCUUCCUUUUUGGUGGGUGUGGAUGAGUGGCGAACGGGUGAGUAACACGUGAGUAACCUGCCCCCUUCUUCUGGAUAACCGCAUGAAAGUGUGGCUAAUACGGGAUAUUCUGGGUCUGUCGCAUGAUGGGUCUGGGAAAGAUAUUGUUUCGGUGGGGGAUGGGCUCGCGGCCUAUCAGCUUGUUGGUGGGGUGAUGGCCUACCAAGGCGGUGACGGGUAGCCGGCCUGGGAGGGUGGACGGUCACAUUGGGACUGGGACACGGGCCAGACUCCUACGGGAGGCAGCAGUGGGGAAUAGUGCACAAUGGGCGCAAGCCUGAUGCAGCGACGCCGCGUGAGGGAUGGAGGCCUUCGGGUUGUGAACCUCUUUCGCCAGUGAAGCAGGCCUGCCUCGUUUGUGGGUGGGUUGACGGUAGCUGGAUAAGAAGCGCCGGCUAACUACGUG
rnacentral:rRNA from 1 species